rnacentral:lncRNA from 1 species
AAAUUUUAAACUUUUAAACUUUAUAUAAAAAUAAAGUUCAAUAUAAAUAUACUAAUGCAACCCGAAUCCAUCUAAUACCCUAAAUCUAAUACUCUAAACCCUAAGAUUCAAACUUAGAUGAUAUUCUAAAUACUAAAUAAAAUCUCUAAUAAUUUUUUUUUCUGAUUUUAAAGCCAAAAUUCAAACUUAAACUUUAAAUCUAAGUAUAUUUUAAAACUCAAAUUAUACAAACUCUAAAUCUACUAAAUCCCAAACGUAAAUUCUCAUUAUAUAUAUCAUACCCCAAAUCAACUAUACACUUAUAUAUAUCAUACCCUAAAUUAAUCACAUCCCC